GCGCCUACACAUGCAAGUCGAGCGGUAACAGGGGUAAUUUAUUACCUGCUGACGAGCGGCGGACGGCUGAGUAACGCGUGGGAACAUGCCCCAAAGUGAGGAAUAAGCACCAAAAAUGGUGUCUAAUGCCGCAUAUGAUCUUCGGAUUAAAGGAUUUAUCCGCUUUGGGAGUGGCCCGCGUACGAUUAGGUAGUUGGUGAGGUAAAGGCUCACCAAGCCUACGAUCGUUAAUUGGUCUGAGAGGAUGACCAGUCAGACUGGAACUGAAACACGGUCCAAACUCCUACGGGAGGCAGCAGUGAGGAAUCUUCCACAAUGGGCGAAAGCCUGAUGGAGCGACGCCGCGUGCAGGAUGAAGGCCUUCGGGUUGUAAACUGCUUUUAUAAGUGAAAAAUAUGACGGUAACUUAUGAAUAAGCACCGGCUAACUACGUGCCAGCAGCCGCGGUCAUACGUAGGGUGCAAGCAUUAUCCGGAGUGACUGGGCGUAAAGAGUUGCGUAGGUGGUUCGUAAAGUGAAUGGUGAAAUCUGGCGGCUCAACCGUACAGACUAUUAUUCAAACUCACGAACUCGAGAAUGGUAGAGGUAACUGGAAUUUCUAGUGUAGGAGUGAAAUCCGUAGAUAUUAGAAGGAACACCAAUGGCGUAGGCAGGUUACUG
rnacentral:rRNA from 1 species